AUUCUACUCCCUCUGUUGCACAAUACAUGCCUUCUAUUUGUCAGAAAAUAUAUGUAUCUGGACAUGUUUUAGUAUAUAGGUACAUCCAUUUUUGGACAAAUGGAAGUCAAGUAUUUUGGAACGGAGGGAGUACACA
rnacentral:pre_miRNA from 1 species